rnacentral:tRNA from 1 species
UGAACGAAAAGGGACUUGAACCCUUACGACAUUUUGUCAGCACAUUUUGAGUGUGCCGCGUCUACCAUUCCGCCAUUCGUCC